UCCCGCUUAACUCAGUGGUAGAGUGCGUCACUAGUAACCCGUAAGGCUUCCAGCAUCUACGUGCUGUCAUGACGAAGUCAGUCGUUCAAAUCGGCUAGUGGGAA